AUCAUCAAGGAAAUUAUCCCACCAGCCUCGAAGUUGGCCAGUAAAUCCUGCAACAAUCAUUUUACAGAUUGUUUGGUCAGUACGAUUGGCCCUAUUUUCUGGCGAAGUAGUGGCUGUGGCAAUAGUAGCAUACAUGGACAUUCGAUGAAUAAGAAUAGAGAUUUGUCGGUCAGAUAAUCCGUCAAUAUUCCAUUCAUAAAUGGCUUCUCCACUAUAAGAAGUAUUUGUCUGAUUCCAUUCCCUUUCCUCUAUCAGAACAUCUUGAGGAGUUGGACGUGGAUAAUAUGCAGUAGACAUACGGGGAAUAUCAGC
rnacentral:lncRNA from 1 species